GACGAACGCUGGCGGCGUGCUUAACACAUGCAAGUCGAACGGAAAGGCCCUGCUUUUGUGGGGUGCUCGAGUGGCGAACGGGUGAGUAACACGUGAGUAACCUGCCCUUGACUUUGGGAUAACUUCAGGAAACUGGGGCUAAUACCGGAUAGGAGCUCCUGCUGCAUGGUGGGGGUUGGAAAGUUUCGGCGGUUGGGGAUGGACUCGCGGCUUAUCAGCUUGUUGGUGGGGUAGUGGCUUACCAAGGCUUUGACGGGUAGCCGGCCUGAGAGGGUGACCGGCAACAUGGGGACUGAGAUGCGGCCCGGACUCCUACGGGGGGCAGAAGGGGGAAAUAUUGCACAAGGGGCGGAGGCCUGAUGCAGCAACGCCGGGUGCGGGAUGGCGGCCUUCGGGUGUAAACCCGUUUUCGCCUGGGAAGAAGCGUGAGUGAGGGUAAUGGGUAAAGAGGCACGGGAAAAUUACGUC
rnacentral:rRNA from 1 species